rnacentral:rRNA from 1 species
CCCUUAGAUGUUCUGGGCCGCACGCGCGCUACACUGACGAAUUCAACGAGCUUAUAACCUUGGCCGAAAGGUCUAGGUAAUCUCCAAAAUUCGUCGUGAUGGGGAUAGAUUAUUGCAAUUAUUAAUCUUCAACGAGGAAUUCCUAGUAGACGUAGUUCAUCAGACUGCAUCGAUUACGUCCCUGCCCUUUGUACACACCGCCCGUCGCUCCUACCGAUUGAAUGCUCAGGUGAGCCAUUCGGACUUUCAUCAUGCUGGUUUCCAGUUUUGAUGAAGGAAAGUCUUGCGAACCUUAUCAUUUAGAGGAAGGAGAAGUCGUAACA